AUGAGGGAGGCUCCGUGGGUGUGGGACCCUCCCGGCCAGGUGUGGGAUAUGAUCUCCUGGUGUGCCUGUUUGCUUAAAGCGCAGUAUUGGGGUGGGAGUUACCCGAUUUUCCAGGUGUUGUGUGUCUCAGUUCCCCUGGCUAGGAAAAGGGAUUCCCUUCCCCCUUGCACUUCCCAGGUGAGGCAAUGCCUCGCCCUGCUUCAGCUCUCGCUGGUCGGGCUGCAGCAGCUGACCAGCACUGAUCGUCCGGCACUCCCCAGUGAGAUGAACCCAGUACCUCAGUUGAAAAUGCAGAAAUCACCGGUCUUCUGUGUCGCUCACGCUGGGAGUUGGAGACUGGAGCUGUUCCUAUUCGGCCAUCUUGCUCCGUCCUCUCUCCGCAUUUCUUUAUUUCGGCUUCGCCUCAGCAUUCAGCACUGGCGUUUCUUGAGGUGGUCGGCAUUGUUCCUCGCUCCUGGGCCUGGCAGAAUGCUUGGAGGGUCAGUUGGAAAUGAAGCUUCUAUUAUCUGCGAUCUGUCUCACCCUCUAAGCUGGUCCGUCCUUACACGAAGGCUCAGCCAAGCAUGAAGAAAACUAAUUGUCCCCACUCUCUGCUCUGCUGCACACCAAACCCCCACUUGUGCUUCUCCUG
rnacentral:lncRNA from 10 species